CGCGGCCGUGGCGGAGGCGGGGGACGCGGCGCUGCUCCGUACGGCGCGGGAGCAGGGCGUCGACACGGCCCUGCUGGUCGCGUCGGCGGGCUCGA
rnacentral:tRNA from 1 species